rnacentral:rRNA from 1 species
CCUACGGGUGGCUGCAGUGGGGAAUAUUGGACAAUGGGCGAAAGCCUGAUCCAGCCAUGCCGCGUGUGUGAAGAAGGCCUUCGGGUUGUAAAGCACUUUCAGUGGGGAGAAAGCCUUGGGGCUAAUACCCUCGAGGAAGGACAUCACCCACAGAAGAAGCACCGGCUAACUCCGUGCCAGCAGCCGCGGUAAUACGGAGGGUGCGAGCGUUAAUCGGAAUUACUGGGCGUAAAGCGCGCGUAGGCGGUCUGAUAAGCCGGUUGUGAAAGCCCCGGGCUCAACCUGGGAACGGCAUCCGGAACUGUCAGGCUAGAGUGCAGGAGAGGAAGGUAGAAUUCCCGGUGUAGCGGUGAAAUGCGUAGAGAUCGGGAGGAAUACCAGUGGCGAAGGCGGCCUUCUGGACUGACACUGACGCUGAGGUGCGAAAGCGUGGGUAGCAAACAGGAUUAGAUACCCCAGUAGUC